CAAAAACAUGUCUAUACGGGGUUUUGUAUAGUCUAGCCUGCCCACUGAAUAAAUUAAAGGGCCGCGGUACUUUGACCGUGCGAAGGUAGCAUAAUCAAUAGUCUUUUAAUUGAAGGCUUGAAUGAACGGUUGGACGAGAAAUAAACUGUUUCUUGGUUAAUACGUCGAAUUUUACUUUUAAGUGAAAAGGCUUAAAUAAAAUAAGAAGACGAUAAGACCCUAUAAAUCUUAACACUAGUGUAAGAUUUAGAUAGUUUAUAGUAAUACGUUAAAUUUUACAAGGUGUUUUGUUGGGGCGACAAGAAUAGACCAUCAGAUCUGUUCUAAUUAUUUACAGUUAUAUUUGAAUUUUGAUAAAUGAUCCUUUUUAGAGAUUAAAAGGUUAAGUUACUUUAGGGAUAACAGCGUUAUUUUACUUGAGAGUUCUUAUCAAAAGUAAAGUUUGCGACCUCGAUGUUGAAUUAAAUAUUCUCUGUGGUGCAGCAGCUACAGUAGGAAAGUCUGUUCGACUUUUAAAUUUUUACAUGAUUUGAGUUCAGACCGGCGUGAGCCAGGUU
rnacentral:rRNA from 1 species